rnacentral:rRNA from 1 species
UACGUAGGGACCAAGCGUUGUUCGGAUUUACUGGGCGUAAAGGGCGCGUAGGCGGCGCGGUAAGUCACUUGUGAAAUCUCUGAGCUUAACUCAGAACGGCCAAGUGAUACUGCAGUGCUAGAGAGCAGAAAGGGCAAUCGGAAUUCUUGGUGUAGCGGUGAAAUGCGUAGAUAUCAAGAGGAACACCUGAGGCGAAGGCGGGUUGCUAGGCUGACACUGACGCUGAGUGCGCGAAAGCCAGGGGAGCAAACGGG